rnacentral:rRNA from 1 species
CCUACGGGCGGCAGCAGUGGGGGAUAUUGCACAAUGGGGGGAACCCUGAUGCAGCGACGCCGCGUGGGUGAAGGAGUAUUUCGGUAUGUAAAGCCCUAUCGGCAGGGAAGAAUUUAGACGGUACCUGACUAAGAAGCCCCGGCUAACUACGUGCCAGCAGCCGCGGUAAUACGUAGGGGGCAAGCGUUAUCCGGAUUCACUGGGUGUAAAGGGAGCGUAGACGGCCAGGCAAGCCUGGAGUGAAAGCCCGGGGCCCAACCCCGGGACUGCUCUGGGAACUGUCCGGCUGGAGUGCGGGAGGGGCAGGCGGAAUUCCUGGUGUAGCGGUGAAAUGCGUAGAUAUCAGGAGGAACACCGGCGGCGAAGGCGGACUGCUGGACCGCGACUGACGUUGAGGCGCGAAAGCGUGGGGAGCGAACAGGAUUAGAUACCCCUGUAGUC